rnacentral:rRNA from 1 species
UGGGCAAUAUUGGGCAAUGGGCGAAAGCCUUACCCAGCAACGCCGCGUGAGGGAAGAAGGUUUUCGGAUUGUAAACCUCUGUCCUGGGGGACGAAGGAAGUGACGGUACCCCGGGAGGAAGCCCCGGCUAACUACGUGCCAGCAGCCGCGGUAAUACGUAGGGGGCGAGCGUUGUCCGGAAUUAUUGGGCGUAAAGGGCGCGUAGACGGCCGAGUAAGUUAUAGGUGAAAGCCCAUCUUUCAAGGAUGGAAUUGCCUGUAAUACUGCCUGGCUUGAGUGCAGGAGAGGGAAGCGGAAUUCCUAGUGUAGCGGUGAAAUGCGUAGAUAUUAGGAGGAACACCAGUGGCGAAGGCGGCUUACUGGACUGUAACUGACGUUGAGGCUCGAAAGCGUGGGGAGCAAACAGGAUUAGAUACCC